rnacentral:rRNA from 1 species
CGGAGGGAAACCGAGUCUUAAUUGGGCGUUAAGUUGCAGGGUAUAGACCCGAAACCCGGUGAUCUAGCCAUGGGCAGGUUGAAGGUUGGGUAACACUAACUGGAGGACCGAACCGACUAAUGUUGAAAAAUUAGCGGAUGACCUGUGGCUGGGGGUGAAAGGCCAAUCAAACCGGGAGAUAGCUGGUUCUCCCCGAAAGCUAUUUAGGUAGCGCCUCGUGAAUUCAUCUCCGGGGGUAGAGCACUGUUUCGGCUAGGGGGCCAUCCCGGCUUACCAACCCGAUGCAAACUGCGAAUACCGGAGAAUGUUAUCACGGGAGACACACGGCGGGUGCUAACGUCCGUCGUGAAGAGGGAAACAACCCAGACCGCCAGCUAAGGUCCCAAAGUCAUGGUUAAGUGGGAAACGAUGUGGGAAGGCCCAGACAGCCAGGAUGUUGGCUUAGAAGCAGCCAUCAUUUAAAGAAAGCGUAAUAGCUCACUGGUCGAGUCGGCCUGCGCGGAAGAUGUAACGGGGCUAAACCAUGCACCGAAGCUGCGGCAGCGAACGUAUCACCCAAGACAACUUUACGGAGUUGACGAUUGACGGAGCGAAGCGACGUCAAAGCGUUCAUUAAAGUCGAGUUGGCUUAGGGAUACGUUCGUUGGGUAGGGGAGCGUUCUGUAAGCCUGUGAAGGUGUGUCGUGAGGCAUGCUGGAGG